rnacentral:misc_RNA from 1 species
UUUUGGUUGUUUGCUUGUCCUUUGGGUCAGGCGGGUGGCUGUUAGUUGGGGGCGGUUUCGGGGAAUGUCGACCGUAAAGGUGCGUGAGUGGUGUUUGGUAUGUUACGGGUGGUUGGAUGUCUGCUUGCGCAGCAACGUCCAUCCGUGCAUGCCUCUUCAUUUGUGUGGCAAGGUCAAAAUGGCCUUGAGCACGUGUUGGGUUCCUUGUGUUGCAUGCCUACUCAAUGGUAUUGUCUUGUUCUAUCAA